rfam:Lactobacillus oris PB013-T2-3 contig00100, whole genome shotgun sequence.
AUGAAAUGAAGAGGUUGCACUUUUCAUCAGUAACGGCUGUGAGGCGAAUAAGCGCUGGACCAGUUGUGAAAGGGGAAGGUGCCGAAACGGCGGUAGUCUUAUUGCUGCCAGCCGUUGGGCCAUGAUCUAAGAGGUCAUGGACUGUCGCACAACUGCGGAGCGCUUCCUAAAGA